rnacentral:rRNA from 1 species
UACGGAGGGUGCAAGCGUUAUCCGGAUUCACUGGGUUUAAAGGGUGCGUAGGUGGGCAGUUAAGUCAGUGGUGAAAUCUCCGGGCUUAACCCGGAAACUGCCAUUGAUACUAUAGGUCUUGAAUAUUGUGGAGGUUAGCGGAAUAUGUCAUGUAGCGGUGAAAUGCUUAGAUAUGACAUAGAACACCAAUUGCGAAGGCAGCUGGCUACGCAUAUAUUGACACUGAGGCUCGAAAGCGUGGGGAUCAAACAGG